GCCAGGCACCGGCCGACGCCACAGAAACUCCACCCGAAAUCCUGGAAGCCAGUGGGGCCUGUCCACAGACCACACCUGGAGGAGGAAGACACAGAUCGUCGUAUCCAGCCUGCAUGCAGGAGUCUGGCUUGCUUUCCUUUUUCACAGUGAAUAAUAUGCUCUCCAUGUAAGUGUUGUAUUUUUGUUU